CAGCUUGAAACGGGGAACCUGUGGUUGUCCGGCGGUGCGUGUGGAUUAAAACUCCCCCUGUACACAACACCGCUGCGGCUAACGGCUACUGCUAACUGUACUCUACCUGCUCCUGUGGCGUCGGGGACCAAGCGGCCCGGAUCAGACCAUAAUCACCGCCCGUCGGGGGAGAAGCUCGGCGACACAGGCGGCCGAGACGCGACGGGGAACGGAGAGGAUUCACUUUCUUCAACGCCUGCGGUACCGCGACGUCCGAGGCGGAGGCCGCAGCGAAACGAGUCCGACCUGCUGCAGCGACCGCGGAUUUCAGUUCCGCCGUCAGAACUUUACUACAUACAUACACACACACACACACACACACACACACACACACACACACACAUACACAUACACACAACACACAUACACACAACACAGACAUAUUCACACACACACACACACACACACACAUACACACACACCACACACAUACACACAACACAGACAUAUUCACACACACACCACACACACACACACACACACACCCACACAUACACAUACACACAACACACAUACACACAACACAGACAUAUUCACACCCACACACACACCACACACAUACACACACACAUACACACAACACAGACAUAUUCACACACACACCACACACACACACACACACACACAACAUACACACACACAUACACACACACACAUAAACACACACAGACAUAUUCACACACACACACACACACACACCACACACACGCCACACACAUACACACAUACAUCCACCACACACACACACAUCCAUCCACCACACACACACCACAAAUCACACACAUACACACACCACACACACACAUACAUCCACCACACACACCACAAAUCACACACAUACACACACACACACAACACACACACAUACAUCCACCACACACACACACCCACAAAUCACACACAUACACACAUACAUCCACCACACACACCACAAAUCACACACACACACACAUACAUCCACCACACACACACCACAAAUCACACACAUACACACAUACGCACACACACAACACACACAUACGCACACACACACAUAUACACACACACACACACCACACACAUACGCACCACAAACCACACACACAUACACACACACACACAUCACAAACCACCACACAUACACACAACACACACACCACAAACCACACACAUAUACACACAUACACAAACAUACACACACAUGUAAUAUAA
rnacentral:lncRNA from 1 species